GCCUGUUUAUCUUUCAGAAUUGACAAAAACCCGUCACUGCAAACGUUUAAACUUGAUUCGUAAUCAAUUGGUCGUGGGUUCAAAUCCCAUCAUCGGCU
rnacentral:tRNA from 1 species